rnacentral:tRNA from 1 species
UAGCUCAUGGGUAGAGUGCCUGCUUAGCAUGCACGAGGUCCUGGGUUCAAUCCCCAG